UGGGGAAUAUUGCACAAUGGGCGCAAGCCUGAUGCAGCCAUGCCGCAUGUGUGAAGAAGGCCUUCGGGUUGUAAAGCACUUUCAGCGAGGAGGAAGGUGGUGAACUUAAUACGUUCAUCAAUUGACGUUACUCGCAGAAGAAGCACCGGCUAACUCCGUGCCAGCAGCCGCGGUAAUACGGAGGGUGCAAGCGUUAAUCGGAAUUACUGGGCGUAAAGCGCACGCAGGCGGUUUGUUAAGUCAGAUGUGAAAUCCCCGGGCUCAACCUGGGAACUGCAUUUGAAACUGGCAAGCUAGAGUCUCGUAGAGGGGGGUAGAAUUCCAGGUGUAGCGGUGAAAUGCGUAGAGAUCUGGAGGAAUACCGGUGGCGAAGGCGGCCCCCUGGACGAAGACUGACGCUCAGGUGCGAAAAGCGUGGGGAGCAAAACAGGAUUAGAUACCCUGGUAGUCCACGCUGUAAAACGAUGUCGAUUUUGGAGGUUGUGCCCUUGAGGCGUGGCUUCCGGAGCUAACGCGUUAAAUCGACCGCCUGGGGAGUACGGCCGCAAGGUUAAAAACUC
rnacentral:rRNA from 1 species